GAUAAAGAACGUAGCGAAAUGCGAUAAGUAAUGUGAAUUGCAGAAUUCAGUGAAUCAUCGAAUCUUUGAACGCACAUUGCGCCCGCCAGUAUUCUGGCGGGCAUGCCUGUUCGAGCGUCAUUACAACCCUCAGGCCCCCGGGCCUGGCGUUGGGGAUCGGCGGAAGCCCCCUGCGGGCACAACGCCGUCCCCCAAAUACAGUGGCGGUCCCGCCGCAGCUUCCAUUGCGUAGUAGCUAACACCUCGCAACUGGAGAGCGGCGCGGCCACGCCGUAAAACACCCAACUUCUGAAUGUUGACCUCGAAUCAGGUAGGAAUACCCGCUGAACUUAAGCAUAUCAAUAAGCGGAGGA
rnacentral:misc_RNA from 1 species